rnacentral:rRNA from 1 species
CCUACGGGAGGCAGCAGUGGGGAAUCUUGCGCAAUGGGCGAAAGCCUGACGCAGCGACGCCGCGUGAGUGAUGAAGGCCCUCGGGUUGUAAAGCUCUGUGAGGCGAGUAGCGGUACCCUUUUAGCAAGCACCGGCUAACUCUGUGCCAGCAGCCGCGGUAAGACAGAGGGUGCAAACGUUGUUCGGAAUUACUGGGCGUAAAGCGCGUGUAGGCUGCUUCGAAAGUCGGAUGUGAAAGCCCCGGGCUCAACCUGGGAAGUGCAUUCGAAACUUCGAAGCUGGAGUCCUGGAGAGGAAGGCGGAAUUCUCGGUGUAGAGGUGAAAUUCGUAGAUAUCGAGAGGAACACCGGUGGCGAAGGCGGCCUUCUGGACGUACUGACGCUGAGACGCGAAAGCGUGGGGAGCAAACAGGAUUAGAUACCCUUGUAGUC